UGAAGUCGGACGCUUAACUGACUGCACCACCCAGGCGCCCCUACAUAUCUGUAUUUUUAGAGGCUUUUUGACUAUUGUUAAUAUCUAACAUGUACAGUUGUUGUUAACAGUGUUUCCAGUUAACCAAGAGUUCUAUCCCCUUCCCAAACAAUACAAAGGCCUUAGAUUCUUUAAAUUUAAUCUCCCCAACUCCUGUUUGACCCUUUUUCCUUCACUUGUAUUUUUUACAAUUUGUUCCUGUCCUCCAGUCACUCUCCCGUAGUAUUAAUUUUUUUUUACAAUUAAUAUUUGUGUGGAUUUAAUCUACAUGUUUGCCAAUUUAUCUCUCAACUUUUUUGAGAGAGAGAGAGAGAGAGGGAACACAAGUAGGAUAGAGGGGCAGAGGGAGAGAGAGAGAGAGAGAGUGAGUGAGAGAGAAUCCCAAGCAGGCUCUGGGCUGUCAGCGCAGAGCCCAUGACCCCAAGAUCACAACCCUGAGCCAAAAUCAAGAGUCGAACACUCAACCAACUGAGCCACAAAGGUGCCCCUCUCAACUAUUUUUUGCAUCUCAUUUCUCCACUUUGGUUUCAGUUUCUUUCUUCCUGAACUCCAGGAAGAAAUAACUAUCGUAGAUCUUCUAGUGAGAACCUGUGAGUAAUAAAUUUUUCUCUGUCUAAAAAUGAUUUUAUUUUAGCCUUAUUUGAAGACAUACUUUAAUUGUGCAUACAAUUUUAAGUUAGUUAUUUUCUCUUAUUAUUUUCUUGUAUUAUCUCUUUGAAGAUAUCAGUCUAAUCUUUCAAACUGUAUUGUUGCUGAGGAGAAAUCUGCUGUCAGUCUAAUAAUAGCUACCCUUUUGUGCUACUAUGUCCUUCCCCUUCCCCUCUGGUUGCUUCUGAGACUUUGUCUUUAUCUCUGGUCUUCUGUAGUUUUGCCAUCAUUUGCCUGUGUUUGUUUUUAUGCCUGGUCAAAGUGAGCAUUUAGAACUUUCUUCAAAUAUGGCGAAUUUUCAUUUAUUUCCCCCUGAACAUCGCCUCCUUCAAAAGCUCCUGUUAGAGGGAUGUGGCAUCUUCCCGUUGUGCCCUCUCUCUGAACUUGUCUCAUGCAUUUGCCAUCUCUUAAUCCCUCCAUGUGGCAUUUUGCAUGAUUUAUUCAAAUCUAUUUUUUAAGGUAACAAAUUCUCUUUUCGGCUAUGCCUGAUAUGCCGUUUAAUUUGCCUUUUAAGCUGUUUAUUUUGGUGACAAUAUUUUUCAUUUCUGAACAUGUGAUUUGUAUUUAAAAUGUCUGCCUAGGUUUUCUUUAUCAAAGCUUCUUUCCUUUCUUGUAUAUCUUUACUCAUUGGUUUAAUUUGGAUUUCACGAGUUUUAUGAGUGUGUGCCUGCGUGCACGCGCGUGUGUGCGUGCAAAGUUUUGUGCGAUUACCACCACUACAAUGAAGAUACAGAAGUGCUUCAUCUCUGCAAGGUUCAGGCUGCUCUUAGAAGCACACCGACUUCCCUCACUCUCCCACCCUGUUCUUCAACCUGGAACCCAAAAAUCUGUUCUCCAUUUCUAUCAAUUUGUUAUAUCAAAUGUGGUCUAUACAUUGGAUGAUACAGUACAUAACCUUGGAGAUGGGCUUGUUUCACUAAGUGAAAUCCCCUUGAGAUCCAUCCCAGUUGUGUUUAUAAUUAAGUCUACUCCUUUUUUUUUGCUCAGUAGUAUUCUAUGGUUUGAAUAUACCAUAGUUGUUUAAACUUUCACCAGUUGAAGACAUCUAGGUUGUUGCCAGUUUUAUGCCGACAUGAAUAAAACUGUUAUGACCAUUCACGUACAAGUUUUGUACAAACACAGGUUUUUGUUUCUCUGGAACAAAUGCUCAAGAGUUCGGUAGCUGGGUUACAUGACAAUUGCAUGUUUGGUUUCAAAGGAAAUAGCCAACUGUAUUCCAGAGUGGCUGUGUCAUUUAAGGGCCCCAGCACUGUACGAACGAUCCAGCUUCUCCACAUCCUCCCCAGCAUUCUCAUAGGUGUGUGGGGAUAUCUUGUUGUAAUGCUUUGCAUUUCCCUAGCGACUAAUAAUGUUCAGCACCUUUUCAUGUGCUUGUCAGCUGUAUAUCUUCUUAGGUGAAAUGUCUGUUCAUGUCUUUUGCCCGUUUUCUAAAUGAAUUUUUUUGUUUUUACUGUUCAGCUUUGGGAGUUCCUAUAUCAUCCAGAUACAAGUACUUUGUUGGAUAUGUGGUCUGCAAAUAUUUUUCCCCAGUCUGCAGCUUAUCUUCAUUAUUUCACAGGGCCUAUUGGAGAGCAGAAGUUUUCAGUUUUGAUGAGGUAUAAUUUAUCAAUUUUCCUUUUAAGGAUCAUGUUUUUGGUGUCAACCCCUUUAUCAUUUUAACUUAAAUAUCUAGUAUUCUCUUUCUGAUUUGCUGUUGUAUGUAGUUCAUAGCACACACAUUCUUCCCAUUGUGCAUGUGAGCCCCAUCUCAUGCUGGCUCAUUUCUUCGUCUCUCUUGUAUAUUAUGAGCUCAUUUUGGAGGAUCUAGGAUGUUCUUUUUUUUUUUUUUCUUUCUCAUUUUAGUCCCUUGAACUGUGGGAGCCACUUUGCUCUGAUGUUUUAUAUUUUCUCUUGCUGGGGCUUGAGAAAUUUUGGGAGUCCUAGACCAAUUUGGGAAUUUCCACACCUUAGGGGCACUAAAAAUAUGAAUUCCCACACCCUCAUUUGAAUAGUCUAGAGUUUUUAUUCCCCUGUUGGGCACGUAAUAUAUCUAGUAUUAGGCACAGGGACCUUUGGGAUGCCCCCCUUUUUUUUUCUUUAGUUCCCUUUUCAUAAAUUUAAUAGACCAUCUUGGCCAGGUCCCAGUUCUGACACCCUGCCUUUCUCAAGUCAUGUAUUUUUCCCUAUGUGGAUGUUCAAUCCCCAGCCUCCAGGCCCAUGCCCUUAUAACCAGGUCCAGUAUCCCACUUUGCCCGGUUACUACAGGAUAAUUGGAGUCUACUGCUCUGAUUUUCAACCCACUUUUUGUUCUUGGCAAAGUUUCCCCUUUCUGUUUUUUCUUUCUUCCCUUCUUUCUCUCAGUCUCGACUAAUUAAAUUCUUCGUAUUAUUUUAUACAGCAUUUUGAUAUUUUGUAGUGUGGAAGUUGGUCCACAAUAGCUUGAUACCCAUGCUGUUCUCACCAAAACACUCCACAUGAGAACUUUAAUCAUACAGGAAAUUACAUUUAAUCUGAGAGGUAGAGAAUGAAAAAUUAAGAAUACAGAGAGUAUGAAAAACAAAUAACAGUGAUAUUAAAAUGGCAAGUUUGACAGGGAAGCCCCUAACAUUUCUACACUCACCAAAGUAUAGAUUUGGAUAGAAAGCAUUAAUUUUUUUCUUUCAAAAUCUUCCUGGUUGUGUCUUUCUCUGAUUCCAUUUCUACCACCUUCCCUUGAAUAGAGACUUUGAUAUUCCAGGGUUUGCUGAACAUAAAGAGGUUCAGGCCUUGUCCUGAGCCUUGUUUCCUGAGCAUGCUUCCUCAUACUCUUUCACCCCCAACGCUGCACUUUAAUUUUUAGCUUUUUCUACCUUAGCCACAGGUUUCCGAUUCCCUAGUCCCUUCCUGUGCCUCUCACCUGGGAUUGCUUUCUAGGGCUUUAUCUCAGCAAUUCCCCGCUCUCAUUUCACACUCUUAAUCCCUAAAUUGCUUGCCAUUCUUUCCCAAUUCUUCAUGCCAAAAAGGUUGGCAUAACGUUAAUCUCUUCAUGGGUAGAACCUUGAUAAAUGGAAAGAAAAGGUUGGGGGGGGAGUCCCAUGCAGGAAGGAAUGUAGGAAAAUUGCCACAGUUAAAGUGGAAGCAGAAAGGCCUUGUGUUGUAAAGCACAACCAUGUCUUAAUGCUCAUAUUUCAUUUUUUUCAGGUCCACACACAUUUUUACUUCUCCAUUUUGUGGAAUCAAUGGUGUUUCUGAUUGAAGUCCUCCAAAGGAUUCCUACUGCGUUUAGAACAAAAUUUAAAUUUCUUGUAAUGACCUACAAGGACCAGCAUGACCGGGCACCUCUGUGUCUCCCCUCCUGUACUACGGUCUCUGUAGAGACAGGAACACAGUCCCAGGCUGAAGCAAGCACAUCUGAACGGGUCUGGCUGCUCUGGGCAGCUGGGGAAGGGCACCCACAGUGUUCUGAACAGAGUUGGAAGAACACCAGCGCUGAGAUGAGUCAGAGCCUCUCAAAGUGUGUGGUACCAAAGCAAUGCAGCACUGAAACUGUCUGUGCCAGCCUUCAAAGAUGCAUGUAGCCAGGGCCUCCCUUCAGGGGGCAGUUGAUGGAACCAUCAGUUUCAGUGAUGCCAGAAAUUUCCCAAGGAAUAGGAAGAGAACUGACACUUAUUCUGCACCUCCUUGAUGCCAACACCAAGUAUGUUAGGUCUCCGGCUUGCUGAAUGUGAGUGGAAAUGAUGAGUGACACUUCCAGGCCUGGCCCAUAAAAACCUCCCUCACAUGUUUCUCUACCACCCUUGGAAGCCAUGUGUGGAAAAUGGCAGAGCUGCCUCCACUGAUGAGGAACAUAUGAUUUGGCCUGUUACAUGAACAAGAAAUCAAUUUAUAUUGUGCUUGAAACAUUAUACAUUUAGGAAUUUGUUUUGUUGCAGCACUGGCUGUAUCUUAAUUGAAACAUACUCCCACACGAAUACUGCCUGGAAUGGUUUUCCUUGUACCAAAAAAAAUGACAGAUCAACUUUCCUCCUUUUUAAACGAAACUGCUUUCUGGAGACAACUCUGAAAAACUAGUGGUGUUCUAUGGAGAACGAUCAUCUGUUGGCUGAAUGGGCAACACCAGAGACUCAUGAGAGAAAGCUUGCCUUGGUCCAGUGCUGCCCAUAUGAGGGACAAUUCUUCCUAAGUAUGGCUCUGUAUUAGCCAUCCCACUUUGCAAAAAGACCUGAUGCUAAAUCCUCCAAACUGGCUUCUAUCAGUUAUGAUAAAGGUGACAUCGUAACCUCUCUCUGCCCCCCUUUUGUUUUACUUUCGAUUUGUUCAGAUCUCAGGUUGCGAAGAUGGCCACUUCUUAUUGAACCCCUUCCGAGACCUUGAAGAUUAUAAUAAUCUUUGGACAAACCAGCGGUCAAGGGUUGAUUAAUUACAUUACGGUGAUUGUGCAAAUAAUCCUCACAAUUGAAACAAGUGGUAAACUAUGAUUAUGUUUUGGUUCUAGUAUAAUUUUUUUCCUGAAGUGAAUAAAUGCCCUAUUUUUGCUUUAAAUCUUUUUAGUUUUCUACGAAGUGAUCAUUAUUUUUUCCAACUGCUAGGAUUUCUCUGUCAAAGAUUUUUAAACAGUACAGUAAAAUCCUAACCAUAAAUGAAAAGUUGAUAAAUUAUAAAACAUUAAAAUUAAGAAUGUAUGUUCAUCAAAUGGCAUGAUUAGAAGAAUAAAAAGGAAAAGCACAGAAUGGCAGAAGAUAUUUGUAAUACAUGUAUCCAAAAAAGGACUUAUGUCUGGAAUCUAUAAAGAAUCCCAAUGGAUCAAUAAAAGAGAGCACAAUAAAAAAA